ensembl:snRNA U6 U6 spliceosomal RNA
GUGCUCACUUCGGCAGCACAUAUACUAAAAUUUGGAAUGAUACAGAGAAGAUUAGCAUGGCACCCGCACAAGGAUGACAGGCAAAUUCAUGAAGCGUUCCAUAUUUUU